UGCCGUGUGGAGUGGCCAGAGCCUCCUCCCCAGCGCAGUGUGUGGAUGGCCUGGCAAAGCGAGACUAUAUCAGUGGGAAC